AGAUGUUUUAAAAUCCAAAAUUCCCCUUAAAAAUUUAUUUUGCUUUUUGCCAAUUUAAAAAAAAAACCAAACUGACCCUAGCCUUCUCUACUAGGGUUCUUGCUCUUCCUAUUACCGCCGCCGCCGUUAGGCCGUCCUUUGGCCUCCAACGACGUCCCGGCCUCCGAUUGCGACGGAGGGGGGACACCAACGAUGAAUCCGGCGGAAGAGGUAAGUUUCCUUUCCCCUCUUUUAUAUUUUAAGCGAAAUAAAUAAAAAAAACAAAAAAAAACAUAUAUAUAAAAAACUUUGAAUGAUGAACACCGAGUAAAACGAAAAAAUCACCCUUUUUAUUUUUUUUAUUUUUCUCUUUUCCGUAUUUUCGUUCCUCUUUUACCCUCAAUAUCCC
rnacentral:lncRNA from 1 species